rnacentral:rRNA from 1 species
AUUGAACGCUGGCGGCAGGCCUAACACAUGCAAGUCGAACGAGUGGCGGACGGGUGAGUAAUGUCUGGGAAACUGCCCGAUGGAGGGGGAUAAAUACUGGAAACGGUAGCUAAUACCGCAUACCAUCGGAUGUGCCCAGAUGGGAUUAGCUAGUGGGUGGGGUAACGGCGCACCUCGGAGACGAUCCCUAGCUGGUCCGAGAGGAUGACCAGCCACACUGGAACUGAGACACGGUCCAGACUCCUACGGGAGGCAGCAGUGGGGAAUAUUGCACAAUGGGCGCAAGCCUGAUGCAGCCAUGCCGCGUGUAUGAAGAAGGCCUUCGGGUUGUAAAGUACUUUCAGCGGGGAGGCGUUACCCGCAGAAGAAGCACCGGCUAACUCCGUGCCAGCAGCCGCGGUAAUAC